rnacentral:rRNA from 1 species
ACAGGUGCUGCAUGGCUGUCGUCAGCUCCGUGUCGUGAGAUGUUGGGUUAAGUCCGUAACGAGCGCAACCCUUGUCCUUAGUUACCAGCACGUUAUGGUGGGCACUCUAAGGAGACUGCCGGUGACAAACCGGAGGAAGGUGGGGAUGACGUCAAGUCAUCAUGGCCCUUACGGCCUGGGCUACACACGUGCUUCAAUGGUCGGUACAAAGGGUUGCCAAGCCGCGAGGUGGAGCUAAUCCCAUAAAACCGAUCGUAGUCCGGAUCGCAGUCUGCAACUCGACUGCGUGAAGUCGGAAUCGCUAGUAAUCGUGAAUCAGAAUGUCACGGUGAAUACGUUCCCGGGCCUU